GUCAUUUCAUAUAAAGUUGUUGCUUCAUUUAUAUUUUCACAGAAUACAUGUGUUUUAUGCAGGAGGUAUUGUUUACCAGAACAAGCUUUAUGUCUGCAUACUCACAGAAGCUUUGCGCUUGCAGAAUGAUUGCACACAAAUGAAAUGUUCAAAUGUCUUCACAAAUGGCUACUGCAGCUGCUUGAGGGGAGUCCUCACCAGGCUGGAUGGUGCAAGGAAUUCUUGGCAGUGAAAGAAAUCUGUGGUGGGAGAUGACUGCAGGUAGUAUGUUAAAAGUU